rnacentral:rRNA from 1 species
AGUUUGAUCCUGGCUCAGGAUGAACGCUAGCUACAGGCUUAACACAUGCAAGUCGAGGGGCAGCAUUGGAGUAGCAAUACUUCAGAUGGCGACCGGCGCACGGGUGAGUAACACGUAUCCAACCUGCCGCUUACUCGGGGAUAGCCUUUCGAAAGAAAGAUUAAUACCCGAUGGUAUAAAGAGUUCGCAUGUUCUCUUUAUUAAAGAAUUUCGGUAAGCGAUGGGGAUGCGUUCCAUUAGAUAGUUGGCGGGGUAACGGCCCACCAAGUCUACGAUGGAUAGGGGUUCUGAGAGGAAGGUCCCCCACAUUGGAACUGAGACACGGUCCAAACUCCUACGGGAGGCAGCAGUGAGGAAUAUUGGUCAAUGGACGCGAGUCUGAACCAGCCAAGUAGCGUGAAGGAUGACUGCCCUAUGGGUUGUAAACUUCUUUUAUAAGGGAAUAAAGUGAGGGACGUGUCCCUUUUUGUAUGUACCUUAUGAAUAAGGAUCGGCUAACUCCGUGCCAGCAGCCGCGGUAAUACGGAGGAUCCAAGCGUUAUCCGGAUUUAUUGGGUUUAAAGGGAGCGUAGGUUGACAUAUAAGUCAGCUGUGAAAGUUUACGGCUCAACCGUGAAAUUGCAGUUGAUACUGUAUGUCUUGAGUGUACAAGAGGUGGGCGGAAUUCGUGGUGUAGCGGUGAAAUGCUUAGAUAUCACGAAGAACUCCAAUUGCGAAGGCAGCUCACUGGGGUACAACUGACACUGAGGCUCGAAAGUGUGGGUAUCAAACAGGAUUAGAUACCCUGGUAGUCCACACAGUAAACGAUGAAUACUCGCCGUUUGCGAUAUACAGUAAGCGGCCAAGCGAAAGCAUUAAGUAUUCCACCUGGGGAGUACGCCGGCAACGGUGAAACUCAAAGGAAUUGACGGGGGCCCGCACAAGCGGAGGAACAUGUGGUUUAAUUCGAUGAUACGCGAGGAACCUUACCCGGGCUUGAAUUGCAGAGGAAUAUAGUUGAAAGAUUAUGGCCGCAAGGUCUCUGUGAAGGUGCUGCAUGGUUGUCGUCAGCUCGUGCCGUGAGGUGUCGGCUUAAGUGCCAUAACGAGCGCAACCCUUAUCAUUAGUUACUAACAGGUGAUGCUGAGGACUCUAGUGAGACUGCCGUCGUAAGAUGUGAGGAAGGUGG